UGCUGCAGACGCAUUGCGACCGUUGGAAUACUCAAAACAAAAGGGAUUUAAACGUUACACAUUUGUCGAAGUGAUGGCACAAUUCCGAGCAAUCAGAUAUAGGCCUAGUAGCCAUUAUAUUAUUUGCAGAGAAGGACAGCUUAAGAUUGGACAAAGCUAAUUUUUAAAGCACUACAAUACUGAGAUGCCCAAAAGAAAGAAAGGUGAUGAGUAUCGUGGAUUUCAGCUUGUGCUGAAUGUGGACAGUCCUUCAAGCCCCUCAGCGACAUAUUAUUAAUUGUAUAUUGAUAUUGUUUGUUCUAAUUGUUGAGUAGAAAUUUAAGACAUGAUAAAGUGAUGAAAAAAUGUUAUAUGGCUCGCACCGAAAUGUCAUUGAAUAUACGUACCUUUCAAGGCUCUUUUGACCAAAAAAGUUCCAGGCUCCUGAUAUAAGUUGAUAUAACUAGUAGUAUAUAACUAGUUAAUAUAAUGCAGUCUGCUGUUGGGUAUUCACAUUUUCAUGGUAUCUGUAAAUAAAAUUGAGAAUUUGAUGUUUCUACUAAUUGCAUUUUAUUCUCCAGCUUCACUAACUCUUCUUUUUAAUAACUUAAUUUCUUAACUGAUAUUUCAG